AAGCUGCAAGAACUUGGCUCUCUGCACAGGUUUUUGUGGCAAUAAAAGCUGCAAGAACAACUUGGCUCUCUGCAUAGUCUUGGACAUUACGGCACCGAAGAGGUCCCGAGGUGGGCGUCAGACAUCGAACGUACCUCAAAUCACCCGAGGGAAGAGGAGACGCGAAGGCAUCCCGGAAACUGCAUUUUUGCAGGUAAACCCGGGCUGGACGCUCCCGCGGGGAGGUUAGCUAUUGCCCGAGCGCAGAAGCAGAGAAGCUAAGGCGGCAGAACAACGAGCUCACAGUGGCCCCGCGCGGGCCAGCUCUCGGUUUCCAUGGCUAACGUCAACUCCGGCCUCCACCCGAAGCUGAACAGCGCGCGUGCGCGCUCGGGGACUGGGCCCGGCGCCCGGCUGGCCCCGCUGUUCCGGCUGUGCUCGCUCUGGAGACGGGCCCUGCAGUACAGCAGGCUGGGCCUCGCGGAAGCAGAGAACCAGCGCCCUCCGUUCGCGCCAGGCCUAGUCCAACAUUUUCCUGGCCAGGGGCUAUGGGAGUCGCUCCUGCUCUGGUCUAGCACCGGGCCUAGGAAAAGCGGCAGCGGCGAAGGCGAAGACGCAGCGCCAACCCUGAACUUUCCCCUGGGCCGAGUCGUUACGCAAGAGCGUCGUUGCCCUGGUGACGUGACGUCCUUCUUCAGGAUUGUGCGCCCGCAGGAGACAGACGUGCAACCGCCAUUUUGCGCAUCAGUUCACCGAAGGUCGUGUCAGGUUGUCUUAAUGCAGGUGGAGGGGUGUGACAGUGCUCCAACCGCUCUCGGUCCCGCGACUUCCAAUAAUCUCACCGACCGUCACCACUCAACACUCCGACGGUGGUAGACAAUUUGUUAAAGGACUAGUGGUGAAAGAGUACCAGUACCUCCUGUUAUGGGCCCCACUGGUGUGAGUGCUGAAGGUAAUACAAAUCUAUAUGAUCACUUUGAAAAGAAAUUUAAUCAUAUUUAUCAGCAACUCUAAAAAUGUGCAUACUUUUAACUGAUUAAUACUUUCUUGUGCAAAUGAUUCAAAAGAAGAAAAGGAUUUAUAUAUAUAUAUGUAUUUAUUGCAUAUUUCUAAUAUUGGAAAAUUGGAAGCAACUUGAAUGUUCCAAAGUUCAAUGACAAAGAAAAUUAUAGUAUUUCCCCUUGGUUGACUAAAACAUGAACAUUAGGAUGAUAAUUAUAAUAGCUUUGUAAUGCCAUGGAAAAUGGUUAGAUAUUUAAUAUGAAGAAAAUCAAAAUUAUAUAAAGUAUUGAAAUUUUAUAAAAAUAUACAAAUGAGAAAACUUGGAAUUUUACAAAAUGGUAGUUGUAUUCACAUGGAGGUGUUUCAGAUGAUCAUCUCAUUGUGUUUUUGAAAUAUCGUGUACUAUUUAACAAUGAUUCAUAAAAUAUUUUAAUGUAUAAAAGUCCUUAAUAACAUACAACCUUUAUGCAUUGCUGAUGAGAAUGUAAAAUGGUGUAGCUGCUGUGGAAAACAAUAUGAUGGCUCUUGAAAUUGUUAAACAUAGAAUUACCAUAUGAUCCAGCAGUUCCACUUCUAAGAUACCCAAAAGAAUUAAAAGUAGGGACUCUAACAGAUAUUGUAUGCCCAUUUUCAUAGCAGCAUUAUUCACUAUAGCCAAGUGGUAGAAGUAAACCAAGUAUUCAUAAACAGAUGAAUGGAUAUGCAAAAUGUAUAUACAUACAAUGGAAUAUUAUUUAGCCUUAAGAAGGAAGGAAGAAGUUCUGACACAUGUUGCAACAUGGAUGAUAAACUCUUUUUUUUGCUUUUUGAGACAGGGUCUUGCUCUGUCACCUAGGCUGGAGUGCAGUGGCAGGAUGCUCACUGCAGCCUCGACCUCCUGGGCUCAAGCAAUCCUCCCAUCUUGGUCUAUUGAGUAGCUGGGACUACAGGCAUGCACCUCCAUGCCCGGGUAAUUUUUUUUUUUUAAUAUACUUUAAGUUCUGGGGUACCUAUGCAGGACAUGCAGGUUUGUUAUGUAGGUAUAUAUGUGCCAUGGUGGUUUGCUACAUCCAUUACCCCAUCAUCUACAUUAGGUAUUUCUCCUAAUGCUAUCCCUCCCUAUCGCCCCCACCCCCUGCUAAUCCCUCCCCUAGCC
ensembl:lincRNA